GAACUUAGCAGAGAUGCUUUUGGUGCCUUCGGGAACUCUGAGACAGGUGCUGCAUGGCUGUCGUCAGCUCGUGUUGUGAAAUGUUGGGUUAAGUCCCGCAACGAGCGCAACCCUUAUCCUUUGUUGCCAGCGGUCCGGCCGGGAACUCAAAGGAGACUGCCAGUGAUAAACUGGAGGAAGGUGGGGAUGACGUCAAGUCAUCAUGGCCCUUACGAGUAGGGCUACACACGUGCUACAAUGGCGCAUACAAAGAGAAGCGACCUCGCGAGAGCAAGCGGACCUCAUAAAGUGCGUCGUAGUCCGGAUUGGAGUCUGCAACUCGACUCCAUGAAGUCGGAAUCGCUAGUAAUCGUAGAUCAGAAUGCUACGGUCGAAUACGUUCCGGGCCUUGUACACACCGCCCGUCACACCAUGGGAGUGGGUUGCAAAAGAAGUAGGUAGCUUAACCUUCGGGAGGGCGCUUACCACUUUGUGAUUCAUGACUGGGGUGAAGUCGUAACAAGGUAGGCGUAGACGU
rnacentral:rRNA from 1 species